UGAAUAGAACAGCCGAAUUUCCUAUGGAAAACGGGGGAACCAUAAAGCUGUCAAUAUCGAUGAACCUGCUGUAAGCAGGAGGUUCGCAUUUGGCGGCAUGGGGUGAAUUUUAGCGUUGGAGCAUCUUCUCCAGCCGCCGAAUAGGGCUGCCUGUCCAGGCCCGAAUCCGUCAGCUAACCUCGUAGGCGUACUGGAACAGGACU
rnacentral:sRNA from 2 species